rnacentral:rRNA from 1 species
ACGGAAGGCAGCAGUGGGGGAUAUUGCACAAUGGGCGAAAGCCUGAUGCAGCGACGCCGCGUGAGGGAAGACGGUUUUCGGAUUGUAAACCUCUGUCUUCGGGGACGAAAAAGGACGGUACCCGAGGAGGAAGCCACGGCUAACUACGUGCCAGCAGCCGCGGUAAUACGUAGGCGGCAAGCGUUGUCCGGAAUUACUAGGUGUAAAGGGAGAGUAGGCGGGACUGCAAGUCCGUUGUUAAAUCUAUCGGCUCAACCGGUAGCUGCGGCGGAAACUGUAGUUCUUGAGUGAAGUAGAGGCAGGCGGAAUCCCUAGUGUAGCGGUGAAAUGCGUAGAUAUUAGGAGGAACAUCAGUGGCGAAGGCGGCUUACUGGGCUUUAACUGACGCUGAGGCUCGAAAGCGUGGGGAGCAAACAGGAUUAGAUACCCUGGUA